rnacentral:rRNA from 1 species
GGUUAAUAUUCCCGUACUUGGUGUUACUGCGAAGGGGGGACGGAGAAGGCUAUGUUGGCCGGGCGACGGUUGUCCCGGUUUAAGCGUGUAGGCUGGUUUUCCAGGCAAAUCCGGAAAAUCAAGGCUGAGGCGUGACGACGAGGCACUACGGUGCUGAAGCAACAAAUGCCCUGCUUCCAGGAAAAGCCUCUAAGCAUCAGGUAACAUCAAAUCGUA